rnacentral:rRNA from 1 species
GAUGAACGCUAGCGGCAGGCUUAAUACAUGCAACUCGAACAGGAUUGAAAAUCUUGCUUUUAUUGAGAGUGGCACACGGGAGCAUAACACAUAUGCCACCUGCCUUGUCCAGGGGGAUAGCCCGUUGAAAGACGGAUUACCACCGCCUAACAUCAUUGAAUGGCAUCGUUAUCAUGAUCAAAUAUUUAUAGGGACAAAGUGGGCAUGCGAUCUGAUUAGCUAGUUGGCGGAGUAAUGGCCCACCAAAGCAACGAUCAUGAGGGGAUCUGAUAAGAUGACCCCCCACACUGGUACUGAGACACGGACCACACUCCUACGGGAGGCAGCAGUAAAGAAUAUUGGGCAAUGAGCGCAAGCCUGAACCAGCCAUGCCGCGUGCAGAAAGACUGCCCUACGGGUUGUAAACUGCUUUUAUACGGGAAUAACCCCGGUUUCCCGAAACCGGCUGAAUGUACCGUAAGAAUAAGGAUCGGCUAACUCCGUGCCAGCAGCCGCGGUAAUACGGAGGAUCCAAGCGUUAUCCGGAUUUAUUGGGCUUAAAGGGUGCGUAGGCGGCCUGCUAAGUCAGGAGUGAAAGACGGUGGCUCAACCAUCGCACUGCCUUUGAUACUGGCGGGCUUGAAUGUACAUGAGGGUGGCGGAAUGUGACAAGUAGCGGUGAAAUGCAUAGAUAUGUCACAGAACACCGAUUGCGAAGGCAACUUACUGAAGUAUAAUUGACGCUGAGGCACGAAAGCGUGGGGAUCAAACAGGAUUAGAUACCCUGGUAGUCCACGCCCUAAACGAUGAUAACUCGCUGCUAGCGAUAUACAGUUAGCGGCCAAGCGAAAGCGUUAAGUUAUCCACCUGGGGAGUACGCCCGCAAGGGUGAAACUCAAAGGAAUUGACGGGGGCCCGCACAAGCGGAGGAGCAUGUGGUUUAAUUCGAUGAUACGCGAGGAACCUUACCCGGGCUUGAAAGUUACUGAAUAACUCAGAGAUGAGUUAGUCCUUUGGGACAGGAAACUAGGUGCUGCAUGGCUGUCGUCAGCUCGUGCCGUGAGGUGUUGGGUUAAGUCCCGCAACGAGCGCAACCCCUAUGUUUAGUUGCCAGCAUGUAAUGGUGGGGCCUUUAAACAGACUGCCUGUGCAAACAGAGAGGAAGGAGGGGACGACAUCAAGUCAUCAUGGCCCUUACGUCCGGGGCUACACACGUGCUACAAUGGCCGGUACAGAGGGUCGCUAAGUGGCAACACUACGCCAAUCUCAAAAAGCCGGUCACAGUUCGGAUCGGAGUCUGCAACUUGGCCCCGUGAAGUUGGAUUCGCUAGUAAUCGCAGAUCAGCAAUGUCGCGGUGAAUACGUUCCCGGGCCU